AAGCAACACUCUGUGGCAGAUGAUUGAAACUGUCUGACACAAUUUGAGCUUGCUAUAGCAAGAAAGUCUGACCUAUUCCAGUGUUCUCUUCUCCAUGAGACGAGCUGUUAUAUAGACUUAAACAGU